UUCUCCCAUCCAAAGAAAAAAUGAGUUCAUAUUUUGAGGAAAAGGCACCUUGUUGUGGAUCUCACUUUUGGGUUUUACUUAGCACUUGUUGGGCUUUUGUGUUAUUUGCUGCUAUCACAUCUGGUCUUGCUCUAGGACUCUUGUCUUUCAGCCAAGUUGAUCUUGAGGUUCUUGUUAAAGCUGGGAAGCCUCAAAUUCAGAAAAAUGCAGCAAAGAUUAUGUCAGUUGUUAAGAAUGAGCAUUUACUUUUAUGCACCCUCCUUAUAGCUAAAUCACUGGCACUGGAGGGGGUUUCUGUUUUUAUGGAGAAAAUGUUCCCUGAGUGGAUUUCAGUAUUGAUGUCUGCCACCAUGUUGGCUAUCACUGCAGAGAUUAUCCCUCAAGCCUUGUGUUCUCGAUAUGGUUUAAGUGUU
rnacentral:sRNA from 1 species